rnacentral:lncRNA from 1 species
UUUCCUUGUUUAGGAAGACAAGACUAGUUCCUUUCUGUUCUAAAAAUACUGGCAUUGGCAAUAAAAUAUGAGUUCUCCAGGGAUGAAACCACUGUGGAAUCUUCCGGCAUUAAUAAAUCAGUCUUCAUCAUACAGACCUACAGCUGGGGAUCUGUGAACCCUAUUAUGGGAGCUCUUAAAAACGUGCCAAAGUCAAGAAAAACUGAAGCAGCACAGAAGCAAACAUUUCUCUUGUUCUUUCAGCUAUUUGUAGGAAGAGCAGUUCCAAUUCUGCGACAUCAGACUGGUCAGUAUACUUAAUGCCAUUAUAGUAAUUAAGGCUGGCAGCUUGUAAGGUCAAACAGAGGUAGCUGUGUAACAGCAAUACCCCAGCUGAAAAUUAGUGACAUUUUAUUCUCCAAAUUGUUGUCU